rnacentral:rRNA from 1 species
AUUGAACGCUGGCGGCAGGCCUAACACAUGCAAGUCGAGCGGAUGAAGGGAGCUUGCUCCUGGAUUCAGCGGCGGACGGGUGAGUAAUGCCUAGGAAUCUGCCUGGUAGUGGGGGAUAACGUCCGGAAACGGGCGCUAAUACCGCAUACGUCCUGAGGGAGAAAGAGGGGGAUCUUCGGACCUCACGCUAUCAGAUGAGCCUAGGUCGGAUUAGCUAGUUGGGGGGGUAAAGGCCUACCAAGGCGACGAUCCGUAACUGGUCUGAGAGGAUGAUCAGUCACACUGGAACUGAGACACGGUCCAGACUCCUACGGGAGGCAGCAGUGGGGAAUAUUGGACAAUGGGCGAAAGCCUGAUCCAGCCAUGCCGCGUGUGUGAAGAAGGUCUUCGGAUUGUAAAGCACUUUAAGUUGGGAGGAAGGGCAGUAAGUUAAUACCUUGCUGUUUUGACGUUACCAACAGAAUAAGCACCGGCUAACUUCGUG